AUACACUCAAACUAAUAGAAGAAAAAGUGGAGAAGUGUCUCGAACACAUGGGCACUGGAGAAAAUUUCCUGAACAAAACACCAAUGGCUCUAAGAUCAAGAAUCGACAAAUGGGAUCUCAUAAAACUGCAAAGCUUCUGUAAGGCAAAGGACACUGUCAUUAGGACAAAUAAGCAACCAACGGAUUGGGAAAAGUUCUUUACCAAUCCUACAUCUGAUAGAGGGCUAAUUGUAGGGAGCGGUGCGACAGCUGUAUGAUAAUGAGGUGAAUCUGGCACCCUCCUAACAACAGUACUGAGCAUGCGUGGAGUUUUGUACCUGACAUCAGUCUGGCUGGGGCAGUACUAUGCUAAAUGGGAGUUUAUGCCUCGCCAAUCUCUGGAGGACAAGUAGCUGGGAUGGCAGUGGGGUGACUCGUGCCCCACCAAUCCCUGAAAGAAGAUUAGCAUACUGUGCGCGGUAACACUUAAAGCUGUAACACUUGGAGCUGUAACACUUGAAGCUGUAACAAUUAGGGCUGGCUGCCGCCGCCUCCCUGUAUCAACAAAGAAGGUGUCCUACAGUAAAGGCUGUUGAGAAGAAUCCAACCGUGUUGCGUCUUCCUUGCCGGACGAGGUAGGCGCGACAAAGUGGUGGCCCGUACGGGGACGAGGACAUCCUCAUGGAUCUCAGAACUCUUCAGCUUCAGGACGAGCGAUGUCGAAAAAGUUCCCGGUAAGGGACGAUAAAGUUCUCUGGAGGUACGUCUGCAAGGGUGUUUGAUCUCCUGAAAUUGGAGUUACAAACAGUUGUAAGCUGCCAUGUAGAUGCUGGGAAUUGAACCUGGGUCCUCUGAAAGAGCAGCCAGUAUUCUUAACCACGGAGUCAUCAUUUUAGCCCCAGGAGCUUAAUUUUUUCACACAGGAGUAGGAGACAGUAGGGCCAGCUGAAGAAGAUGGAAGCUCCUUGUGUCAUGGAACAUCCAGUCCCCAUGAACCCUCCCCAGGAAACCACCAUGAGAAACUUCACAGCAGAUCAUAUCUCAGGAGGAAGACUGGCAUCCUUUUACAGAGAAGGCAACAGAUCCAUGGAGUUACAGAUCUGCUUCACAUCCUCUGGGAUGUUGUGGUCUCUAUUCUAUUCUAUGCACUGCAAGUUGAGAAGGAGACUUGUGGCAAUUGUGGCAACAGUGGGAUGACUCAGGAAGACUAAAACCUAUAUGUCUCACACACACACACACACACACACACACACACACACACACACACACCCUCACAAAGGAUCACCAAAAUUCAAAAGGCCAUUCAGUUACGUCUUGUCAAAUACCACCUGGAUUAGAGAGGUGCUGCCUCACAUUGAGAACCACAGAUCUUAAUCAUCUUACCCCUGUUCUCUGGUAUACUUUCACCAAAGGGACAAACACUCUGUUCCAGUCUUCUUUCUUUAUUCCUUGCACUGUACAUAGGGACAGGAUUAUGGGUUAAAUUAUAUCCCCUCAAAGGAAUAAGAUCAAGUUUUCAACCUCAGAAUUUUAGAAUGUGGAAUAAAAAUAAUUAAGGAAGUACUCAAAUUUAAAUAGGUCAUUAUAGUGAGCCUUAAUACAAAACGAUUGAUAGCCCUAUAGGAAGGGGAAGUUUGCACACAAAAAAUGAAUGGCAUAUGGUGAUGUGAAGGCACUUGAGGAAAGGCAGGUAUGGUAGCAAAACCUCUCUCUCCAGCACUCUCAAAGGGGCAGGCAGAUCUCAUUGAAUUUAACAUGAGCCUUCUCUGUAUAGAGUUCCAGGCCAGAGCUACACAGUCAGACCCCAUCUAAAGCAAACACAUCUGAAGAGAUGAAGACUACUUGGGUGGCUAAGAGUGCUUGCUGGACUGGUACAACCAUUCUGGAAAUCAGUCUGGAGGUUCCUCAGAAAAUUGGACAUUGAACUGCCUGAGGAUCCAGCUAUACCUCUCUUGGGCAUAUACCCACAAGAUGCCCCAACAUAUAACAAAGACACGUGCUCCGCUAUGUUCAUAGCAGCCUUAUUUAUAAUAGCCAGAAGCUGGAAAGAACCCAGAUGCCCUUCAACAGAGGAAUGGAUACGGAAAAUGUGGUACAUCUACACAAUGGAAUAUUACUCAGCUAUCAAAAACAAUGACUUUAUGAAAUUCAUAGGCAAAUGGUUGGAACUGGAAAAUAUCAUCCUGAGUGAGGUAACCCAAUCACAGAAAAACACACAUGGUAUGCACUCAUUAAUAAGUGGCUAUUAGCCCAAAUGCUUGAAUUACCCUAGAUGCCUAGAACAAAUGAAACUCAAGACUGAUGAUCAAAAUGUGAAUGCUUCACUCCUUCUUUAAAAGGGGGACAAGAAUACCCUUGGCAGGGAAUAGAGAAGCAAAGAUUAAAACAGAGGCAGAAGGAACACCCAUUCAGAGCCUGCCCCACAUGUGGCCCAUACAUAUACAGCCACCCACUUAGACAAGAUGGAUGAAGCAAAGAAGUUCAGGCUGACAAGAGCCGGAUGUAGAUCUCUCCUGAGAGACACAGCCAGAAUACAGAAAAUACAGAGGCGAAUGCCAGCAGCAAACCACUGAACUGAGAAUAGGACCCCCAUUGAAGGAAUCAGAGAAAGAACUGGAAGAGCUUGAAGGGGCUCGAGACCCCUUAUGAACAACAAUGCCAAGCAACCAGAGCUUCCAGGGACUAAGCCACUACCUAAAGACUAUACAUGGACUGACCCUGGACUCUGACCUCAUAGGUAGCAAUGAAUAUCCUAGUAACAUCACCAGUGGAAGGGGAAGCCCUUGGUCCUGCUAAGACUGAACCCCCAGUGAACGUGAUUGUUGGGGGGAGAACAGCA